rnacentral:misc_RNA from 1 species
CCGAGUCCGGGCUCCCUCAAGCCCCUACUCCCACCCGUGUCUACCUUUACCGUGUUGCUUUGGCGGGCCCACCGGAGGCCGCGAAUCUGGUCGCCGGGGGGCUACGCCCCCGGGCCCGUGCCCGCCGAAGCGCCCCUGAACCCUGUGUGAAUAGUGAGUCUGAGUGUCUAUUGAAUCGUUA